rnacentral:rRNA from 1 species
CUACGUGCCAGCAGCCGCGGUAAUACGUAGGGUGCGAGCGUUAAUCGGAAUUACUGGGCGUAAAGCGAGCGCAGACGGUUACUUAAGCAGGAUGUGAAAUCCCCGGGCUCAACCUGGGAACUGCGUUCUGAACUGGGUGACUAGAGUGUGUCAGAGGGAGGUAGAAUUCCACGUGUAGCAGUGAAAUGCGUAGAUAUAUGGAGGAACACCGGUGGCGAAAGCGGCUCUCUGGUCUGUAACUGACGCUGAGGCUCGAAAGCGUGGGGAGCAAACAGGAUUAGAUACCCUGGUAGUCCACGCCGUAAACGAUGAGUGCUAGGUGUUAGGCCCUUUCCGGGGCUUAGUGCCGCAGCUAACGCAUUAAGCACUCCGCCUGGGGAGUACGACCGCAAGGUUGAAACUCAAAGGAAUUGACGGGGGCCCGCACAAGCGGUGGAGUAUGUGGUUUAAUUCGACGCAACGCGAAGAACCUUACCAGGUCUUGACAU